rnacentral:rRNA from 1 species
ACGCUCGACACCUACGGGAGGCAGCAGGUGGGGAAUAUUGCACAAGUGGGGGAAACCCUGAUGCAGCGACGCCGCGUGAAGGAAGAAGUAUCUCGGUAUGUAAACUUCUAUCAGCAGGGAAGAAAAUGACGGUACCUGACUAAGAAGCCCCGGCUAACUACGUGCUAGCAGCCGCGGUAAUCUGAGCGGGCUGGCAAGGC